rnacentral:rRNA from 1 species
UACAGUAGGGUGCAAGCGUUAAUCGGAAUUACUGGGCGUAAAGCGUGCGCAGGCGGUUAUGUAGGACAGAAGUGAAAUCCCCGGGCUCAACCUGGGAACUGCCUUUGUGACUGCGUAGCUAGAGUACGGCAGAGGGGGAUGGAAUUCCGCGUGUAGCAGUGAAAUGCGUACAUAUGACGGAGGAACACCGAUGGAGAAGGCAAUCCCCUGGGCCUGUACUGACGCUCAUGCACGAAAGCGCGGGGAGCAAACAGGAUUAGAUACCCUGGUAGUCCACGCCCUAAACGAUGUCAACUGGUUGUUGGGUCUUCACUGACUCAGUAACGAAGCUAACGCGUGAAGUUGACCGCCUGGGGAGUUCGGCCGCAAGGCUGAAACUCAAAGGAAUUGACGGGGACCCGCGCAAGCGGUGGAUGAUGUGGUUUAAUUCGAUGCAACGCGGAAAACCUUACCCACCUUUGACACGUACGGAAGUUACCAGAGAUGGUCUCGUGCUCGAAAGAGAACCGCAACACAGGUGCUGCAUGGCUGUCGUCAGCUCGUGUCGUGAGACGAUGGGUUAAGUCCCGCAACGAGCGCAACCCUUGUCAUUAGAUGUUAUGAAAGGGCACUCUAAUGAGACUGCCGGUGAUAAACCGGAGGAAGGCGGGGAUGACGUCAAGUCCUCAUGGCCCUUAUAGGUGGGGCUACACACGUCAUACAAUGGCUGGUACAGAGGGUUGCCAACCCGCGAUGGGGGAGCUAAUCCCAUAAAACCAGUCGUAGUCCGGAUCGCAGUCUGCAACUCGAGUGCGUGAAGUCGGAAUCCCUAGUAAUCGCGGAUCAGAAUGUCGCGGUGAAUUCGUUCCCGGGUCU